UACGUAGGGUGCAAGCGUUGUCCGGAAUUACUGGGCGUAAAGCGCGCGCAGGCGGCCCAUUAAGUCCAUCGGUCAAAUGCCGGGGCUCAACCCCGAGCGUGCCGAGGAUACUGGCGGGCUGGAGACACGUAGAGGCAAGCGGAAUUCCGGGUGUAGCGGUGGAAUGCGUAGAGAUCCGGAAGAACACCGGAGGCGAAGGCGGCUUGCUGGGCGUGAUCUGACGCUGAGGCGCGAAAGCGUGGGGAGCGAACAGG
rnacentral:rRNA from 1 species